rnacentral:tRNA from 2 species
GGAGUGGUACUCAAGAGGCCGAAGAGGACGGUUUGCUAAAUCGUUAGGUGGGCUUAUACCCGCGCAAGGGUUCGAAUCCCUUCCACUCCGCCA